rnacentral:snoRNA from 1 species
AUCCCGUGGUGAGGGCAAGCCAAGAGGUAUUCUUGGAAGCGCUCCCAUGCCUCAGGGAUUGACUCAUUUGAUGCCUGCUGGAAGUUGGUAAUCCUUCCACGAAGGGC